rnacentral:tRNA from 1 species
GCCUUCGUGGUAUAAUGGUAGCACACUCGGCGCGUAUUCGAGAGGUCCAGGUUCGAAUCCCGGCGAGGGCA